CGUUGCACCGUUCGGAAUUCGGGCAUUGCACAACUAUCGAUGACCGGUUUCGUCGUUCAACAC
rnacentral:pre_miRNA from 1 species